rnacentral:misc_RNA from 1 species
GUUUUUGCAAGAGAUUAAGAAUUCUCCAUCUGUAGAUUAUGGCCGCAUGGCUGAAAUACUAGUGCAAAGGGCAGGCUCACAGGAUGAAUUUACUAGGCUGACUUCUAUCACUUGGAUAAAUGAAUUUGUGAAACUUGGUGGAGAUCAACUUGUCCCUUAUUAUGCUGAUAUUCUGGGAGCAAUAUUGCCUUGUAUAUCUGAUAAAGAAGAGAAAAUAAGAGUUGUUUCUCGUGAAACAAAUGACGAACUUCGUGCAAUUGAGGCUGAUCCAGCUGAGGGUUUUGAUGUAGGAGCAAUCCUCUCUGUUGCUAGGAGGCAG